ACAUAGGCUUGUAUCUUUAUGAUUGUCAAUCAAGAAAGCAUUAUUUGAUGCCAUAACAAUCUUAUUUGUACUUGUUUCCAUAUUCUGAUAAUGUUAUUGUGCUCCUUCUGGGAUGUUGCAGUGAACCUUUACUAAUUUCCUGAUUCAAACAAUAUUUUCAGCUUCCAUUGUCAUUGAAGAAUUUGGUCAUCUAGAGGAGUACGGACCUUUAUUUGUCACUUCUGACGACAUUCCAGACAUUGAUAAGAAAAAAAUGGUAUGUUGAUUGGAGCAACUACAUCAAUCGGAUUAAUCAUAAAAAUAGUACUGUUUUCAAAUUGUAAAGAGUAGAUAGGGUGAAUGAAACAGAGAGUGAAAGUUACAACAACAUAUAGAAGCAAAGGUGCAGACCAUUUUUUGCUUUCGUGUC